UGCAGAAUCCCGUGAACCAUCGAGUCUUUGAACGCAAGUUGCGCCCGAUGCCAUUAGGUUGAGGGCACGUCUGCCUGGGUGUCACAUAUCGAAGCCUCCUGCCAAUUUCUCUUUGAUUAUUGUGCAGGGUGGAUGUUGGCCUCCCGUGAGCUCUUUCGUCUCAUGGUUGGUUGAAAAUUGAGACCUUGGUAGGGUGUGCCAUGAUAGAUGGUGGUUGUGUGAUCCACGAGACCAAUCAUGUGCUGCUCUAUUAAAUAUGGCCUCUUUUACCCAUAUGCGUUUCUAAACGCUCGUGAUGAGACCUCAGGUCAGGCGGGGCUACCCGCUGAAUUUAAGCAUAUCAAUAAGCGGAGGAAAAGAAACUAACAAGGAUUCCCUUAGUAACGGCGAGCGAACCGGGAUAAGCCCACCAUGAGAAUCGGUCGCCCUCGGCGUUCGA
rnacentral:rRNA from 1 species